CCUACGGGAGGCAGCAGUGGGGAAUAUUGGACAAUGGGCGAAAGCCUGAUCCAGCAAUGCCGCGUGAGUGAAGAAGGCCUUCGGGUUGUAAAGCUCUUUUACCCGGGAAGAUAAUGACUGUACCGGGAGAAUAAGCCCCGGCUAACUCCGUGCCAGCAGCCGCGGUAAUACGGAGGGGGCUAGCGUUGUUCGGAAUUACUGGGCGUAAAGCGUACGUAGGCGGCUUUGUAAGUCAGAGGUGAAAGCCCACGACUCAAUCGUGGAACUGCCUUUGAGACUGCUUCGCUUGAAGAUGGGAGAGGUUAGUGGAAUUCCGAGUGUAGAGGUGAAAUUCGUAGAUAUUCGGAAGAACACCAGUGGCGAAGGCGGCUAACUGGACCAUUCUUGACGCUGAGGUACGAAAGCGUGGGGAGCAAACAGGAUUAGAUACCCUGGUAGUCCACGCCGUAAACGAUGAUAACUAGCUGUCGGGGCUCUUGGAGCUUCGGUGGCGCAGCUACGACAUAGUUAUCGUCCGUCGGGUAGGUACGGCCGCGACGUUAAACGUAACAAUAGAUAGUACGCGUGAGACGUGCCGACGGACGACGACGAGGGAGGUAGG
rnacentral:rRNA from 1 species